rnacentral:misc_RNA from 1 species
UUUCCGUAGGUGAACCUGCGGAAGGAUCAUUAUUGAAUAAACCGGAUGUGGUUGUAGCUGGCCCUUUCGGGAGCAUGUGCACACCCGUCGUCUUUAUCUUUCCACCUGUGCACCUUUUGUAGACCUGGAUGUAUCACUUUCCGAGGCAACUCGGUCGGGAGGAAUGCUGUCAGCUUUCCUUGAAUGUCCAGGCAUAUGUUUUCAUAUACCCCCACGAAUGUAACAGAAUGUAUUAUUGGGUCUUGUGCCUAUAAACUAUAUACAACUUUCAGCAACGGAUCUCUUGGCUCUC